rnacentral:tRNA from 1 species
UGCUUUCAUAGCUCAGGUGGUUAGAGCACCCGUUUAGUAAGCGGGAGGUCUUGAGUUCAAAUCUCAAUGAAAGCACUUUUUGAUGUUCUUUUUUUCACACUCAUGGAUUGUUGAUAUGUGAUGUUAUGAGUAGAAGUAGAAGGGCAAUUUUAAAUACCAUAUGCAGCCACAUUGUAGUAGUAUACCCUCCUUUUGGUUGGAAGUGGUAGUUUAUGAAAUUAAAAGGGAACAUUAGGAAAUCUUUCAACUUGCUUUCAUAGCUCAGUUGGUUAGAGCACCCGUUUAGUAAGCGGGAGGUCUUGAGUUCGACUCUCAAUGAAAGCAAC